rnacentral:lncRNA from 1 species
AAGUUUAUACCGACUUGAACAUCGUAUCGUUUGCAGGUAUACAUACUCUCAUCGUCGUUUGUCAGUUACAUCUCUAGUAUGAAAACCUACACUAUGCAGCAUUCCUUCCACCAAUCCACCAUCCAGUAAAAUCUUUCAUCUUCCUAAAUAAAUUUGAGUUCUAUUCAAAAUAAAUGCAUAGUAAACAAGCAAUGUACGAUAAAAAAUAAAAUGAUUAGGUGACAUUUAAUUAUGUGUAUUUGAUAGGUGAACUAUGCUACUUUAACAUCUGAGAAUGCAUGCAUGAGCAAAUAGGCACACAUAAAUAGACAAGAAUGGAAACUGGAGAGGAGAGAAAUGGAAGAGAGUGGCUAAUCAUAAAUUACAGUUUAGAAGUCCUCUGGAUCUCUAAUUAUGGUACUUUCCCUUUGCAUUGCCAUAAAAUUGCAAGUAUUUAUUUUAAGGCGUGAACAAAGAACACCUAAUGCACCUCUACACUAAUCUAAGGUGUACUAUAUAGCAAGUACGUAGAUACUAAAACUAAUAUCUAGGCUGGUAGCUUUCUUUCAAAAAAAAAAAAAUCUAGGCUGGUAGCUUACAAUACAAGUAAAUAUAUAUAUAUGACAUAUCUAGUGAGAAUGGCUUAGUUAUAUGAGAAUGGUGAGAAUACUUCUCAACCCUUGGAUCAAAAAUAAAUGGUUCAGAUUAAAAAGACUCACAUGUGUCUCUCUCUAGUCUAUCAUUUUUUAUAAACCUGUUUCACCUUUUCAUCUUCUUGGAUCGACCAUCAUCUGCAACAGAUUUUCACACUAUUCCUAAUUUUCCAGCACAAGAUUAAAAUCAUUGGAGAUAUUACCUUUCAAAUAGACUUUAUUUUGAACAACACCAACUUAUCCAAAUAGAUUAAAAUCAUUGCAUAUCAUUCUGGUUCUAUUUUUCAGUCCAUCAAAAGAAUUCAAUUUUAAAUUAAUGAUCCACUCUAUCAAAAUAAUCCCUUUUCUUUCUGAAUUUUUUUUUAAAUAAUAUUAUUGCCCCUUCUUGUCUUCUCUCAACGAUGCAGGUAUGAAUUGAGACAAAAAAGAACUUCAAUUAAAUGAGAUUGGAUUUAAUCCAAUGAAUUGAGACAAUAGUGCUCAACAAAAUCAAUUCAAUUCAACACAUAAACAGAAAGAACAGAGAAUAUGGGUGUCACUGUGGCUGGUGAGAUAAUGAACAGAGAAGUGUUUGAAGGGAGGCGAAGGUGGGUGUUGAAGACGAGGUGAGAAAGAAAACUCGAUUGUUUACUUGAAGAACACCUUAUUAAAGUAAUUCUUUAAAAUACAGAUCUGGGAAGAGUGAUCUCAACACAAAUGGUGGUGGAGUCAUGGACUCAUGAUAAAACAUUUUUUUUAAGGAUCAGAAAGCGUUGUUGUUUGGGGAAGAUGAACAAAUGAAUAUGUUGAUGAGAACCAUUUAUUUUUGAUCCAAGGGUUGAGAAGUAUUCUAACCAUUGUCAUGUAACUAAGCCAUUCUCACUAGAUAUGUCCUCACACACACAUAUAUAUAUAUAUAUAUAUAUAUAUACUAAUAAUGUGUAAUCUGCUCGUGGUGUAAUACUGGCCUUGGAAGAAAGAGUAAAUAGAUUCCCA